UACGGAGGGUGCAAGCGUUGCUCGGAAUUAUUGGGCGUAAAGGGUAGGCAGGUGGUCUCAUUUGUCAGGGGUGAAAGCCUUGGGCUUAACCCAAGAAGUGCCCCUGAAACGGUGAGACUGGAGUACUGGAGAGGGUCGUGGAAUUCCCGGUGUAGCGGUGAAAUGCGUAGAGAUCGGGAGGAACACCAGAGGCGAAGGCGGCGACCUGGACAGUUACUGACACUCAACUACGAAAGCGUGGGGAGCAAACAGG
rnacentral:rRNA from 1 species